CUAUUUUAUAGAUUGGUUUCUAGCUGUUAUUCAAGGUGUAUUUCUAAAGUUUGAUUGUAUUUAUUGCACUAAGCAGGAGACUUGUUGCUGUAUCACUGGUAAUAUUGCAUUGAAUACAGACCCCUUAUUGACUGCUUGCUGGCACAUCAUGUGUGUCCUUUCUGUAGAAGCUGACUCUUGUCCUUGCAUUGGCAGUUCUGAUUUCCACAUUUGGAUCUUCCUUCCAGUAUGGAUACAAUGUUGCUGUUGUCAACUCGCCAGCUCCGGUAAAAUGCAUUUUGCUCAACAAGGUUAUUCAUGUCAGCAAACCACAUGACCCAAGUUAUAUGUUUGCAACAUAGCUGUAUGGAUUGAAAACACUAUUUAAAUGCAAAUUUCAUUCUCUGAACACACCUGCAUCAAAGGGCUUGAGAUGAAGUACAUUUACUAUAAAUCUAAGAAAAUCUAUUUGUUCUCUUGAUCUUGAAAUGCUGUAUUGAUGUGACACCCACUUUUAACUUGGGUGAUAAAAUAUGGGUAAUUAUGCACCAUUGAAAAAGCUGUUUACACCACCACAGUGCAAAUGAAAUUCAUUUGCAGACUAGAGGUUGUGUAACUCUUAAUAAGAGUUAGGGUUAGAGUUUCUAGUUUAAUGAGGUUAACGCUAGGUUUGGGGCUACAGUUGUUGUAAUGCAAUUAAAAUAAAUAUUGGGGGGGGGGGGUUGUAAAUAGUAAAGGAUAAUAAUACAGUUUUAUUUGCUCCAAAUAUUUGUUCACUAUUUACACAGCAGUGGUGUGAAUAGAGCUGACCUCAGUUAUGGAAGAACACUGCUUAAUUUACUUCCAAAUCCAAGGAUUUUGUUCAUGGUGCAGAAUGGAAUAAUAACUGAACUUAGUAGUUUUUGCAGGUGAUGCAGGAGUUUUACAACCAGACAUACUAUGAUCGCUAUGGAAACCCCAUUGAAGACAGCUACCUGACCUUGUUGUGGUCUCUGUCUGUGUUCACGUUUCCAUUAGGGGGGUUCUUUGGCUCACUAAUGGUAGCUCCGCUGGUCAAUAAAUUAGGAAGGUAAGACUAGACGGGCCUCUGAUUUUACAGCUAGAAAACAAAGGCAAGCUCUUGUGCUCUGUUCUGAAACGCCUAUCAGCCACACCACGUCACAUUGAUGGAAAUAGCUGAUUAUAAGCCUGUGUUGUGCUGGGAAAGCUGUUCCGCAAGCACAUUGAUGACUGCUGCAUUGUGCCUUUACUGUAAGCAAUGUGAUCACUUGAGGGUCGCAAAGAGGUCAAAGAUGACACCGGAUUAGCAGGAGCAAACCUAGCUGUAGUCGUUAAAGGCAGGGAGAGGGUAGGAGCACUUUCAUGAAGCUUGUUUUCCUGUCCCUCAGGUUUUGAUUGUGGAAGCUUCAGGAAGGAAGCUCCUCCUCCUGAUUGGAUUUGGGAUUUGUGCCGCUGCCUGUGCGGUCCUGACUAUCGCUCUCACUCUCCAGAAGGGGCUCGGCACCUACAGUUUUAUCAUAUUCGGUGCCAUCUGCUUGGCAACGUUGGGCUACAUCUUUUUCGUUGUUCCGGAAACCAAAAACAAAACCUUCCUGGAAGUCAGCCAGUUGCUUGCCAAGAGGAACAAAACUGAAAUUGUUAUUGGGUCCCAGAGCCCCACUGUUAUUGAUCUGAAACCAAUGAUAGAGGAAGGGGCCUUGGACAUAACCUGCGGACUCUUGUGCAAGGCCAGUGGGUCAGUCUUUCAGGCUCUGACCUUACCCCUCCAAAGAGGUCCACUGUGUGAAUUCCCCAGCCGACCACAUUUCCUUUACUGUGUACACUGCUGCAUCUCAUGAGCUGUC